GAAAUUCUGAGUCUUCACUGUUUCUGUUUUAUGAAAUUUUCACAAUUAAUACAUUUAAAUAUUCUUGAUUUUAAACCUUUUUAAUUUCAUUUUAAGAGAUAAAAAGGAAUAAAAUCUGAUACCCUUUUUAGGGUUGAAUCUAUCUUGCUGCAAUUGUUGUAUAGAUAUGGCUGUGAUGGAUGAGAUUGGAAUUGAUGUCAGCUCGGACAUUGAAAUUGAUGACAUAAGGUGCGACAACAUAGACGAAAAGGAUGUCAGUGAUGAAGAAAUUGAGCCAGAUGAAUUGGAGAGACGGAUGUGGAAGGACCGUGUCAAGCUCAAACGGCUCAAGGAAAAACAGAAGCUUGCAGCCCGACAAGCCGCAGAGAAGCAGGACCAUAAACAAGUUACUGAUCAGGCUACACGGAAAAAGAUGUCAAGAGCUCAAGAUGGGAUUUUGAAGUACAUGUUGAAGCUCAUGGAGGUCUGCAAUGCUCGAGGAUUUGUUUAUGGAAUCAUUCCUGAUAAGGGUAAACCUGUGAGCGGUUCGUCAGAUAACAUAAGAGCUUGGUGGAAGGAGAAGGUGAAGUUUGAUAAGAACGGUCUUGCUGCAAUAGCCAAGUAUGAAGCAGAAUGUCUUGCAAGAGAAGGUGUAGGCAGCCAAAAUGGGAACCCGCAAAGUGUUCUGCAAGACUUGCAAGAUGCUACCUUGGGGUCUCUUUUGUCUUCUUUAAUGCAACACUGUGAUCCGCCUCAACGGAAGUACCCUCUGGAGAAAGGUGUCUCUCCACCGUGGUGGCCAACUGGGUAUGAGGGAUGGUGGGCUAAAAUAGGACUACCUAAGGGUCAGAAACCGCCGUACAGAAAGCCGCAUGAUUUGAAGAAGAUGUGGAAAGUUGGUGUUCUAACUGCUGUCAUAAAGCAUAUGUCACCUGAUAUUGCAAAGAUCAGGAGAUUAAUCCGCAAAUCGAAGAGUCUGCAGGACAAGAUGACAGCAAAGGAGAGCUCAAUUUGGUUGGCUGUUUUAAGCAGAGAGGAAGCAAGCCUCCAACAAGCAGGCAGUGAGAAUGGAUCAUCAAGCAUAGAGGAACCAGCUGGAAGCCGUGGUGAAAAGAAGAAACCUUCAAUUAGCAGUGACAGUGACUAUGAUGUUGAUGGCACCGAUGAUGGUAUUGGCUCUGUAUCGUCCAGAGAUGAGAGGAGAAAUCAACCGUUGGAUGUUCAUCCUUUAAAUACCAUUCCUCAAUCUCACCAAAGUACGGAGCAAGGAGAUGGACAUCAUCGAAGGAGAAAACGUGCUAGGUCAAACCCUACUAUGAGACAGACUCAACCAUCUCUGCUACAUGGUGACGAGCAUAGUAACACAUUACCUGAUAUAAACAGUUUAGAAACACUAUUGGCUGGACACAUAAUGAGUGACAGCCCACUGGGAAAUGACAAGAUCGAAUCAUCAAAGCCUGUCGAGAACAACACAGAGAGUCAAUCAGAGUUACCGUUACAAGACUCAAACCUAUCAUUGGUUCCGUCAGCUAAUAUAGUCUCUAUAGGGGAUGCAUAUAUAGGUGCUGGGCCAUCACUUUAUCCGAUGUCUCAAAAUUCUGCAGUUGUCCCUUAUGAAUCAGAGGUGCAUCUUGAAAAUCAAGAUUCUAUUGUUCAGCAUCAAUUUCAAGACGCUCAGUUCCAUGGUCGCCAGAAGAUUUCAGGGGUGAAUGAUGGACGACAAAUUUCCCUAUCGCAUUUUGGACCCCCAGAAAAUGGGUUGCUAUAUGGACCUCACAAUUCCAUCGUACACACUGAACUGCAGGUUUCUGAAUUUGCUCAUGGAUCUCAAUUUUCUAACUUCAGUCAACCUCCUGUAUAUCAUUCUUAUUCUUCAUCUGAAUUUGGGUCGACACAUGAGGAACCACAGUCCCACUUGGCAUGCAAUGAACUUCAGAUAAGGCCAAGGGAUUCUGGAGUUGGUCCAUUGCUUCACGGAAGUGGAAAUGAUAUCUCUAGAGACAAUCACCAUUAUGGAAAAGAUAUGUUUCAGAAUAAACAUGACAGACAUAUUGAGAUGCCUUUGGCAUCUCCACUCACUAUUGACUCGUCUUAUACUACACUCGACAGCCCAAUUGACUUGGGGCUUGAUGUCCAAAGUUAUUUUGAUAAUUCUGAUUAUGAUUUAGAUUUUGACAAAGAAUUGAUGUCAUUCUUUGCCUCAUAGACAAGUAUAAGUGGAAGGACAACAUUUAGAAUGUGAGUGUUACUAAACUGAACUACUUUUCCCUCUUUCAUUUGUUCGAAAUGUAAGUUCGUUCUUAUUUUCUCAUUACAAGAGCUUCUCUGCAGGAGAGUGACAAAGGUGGAACCCUUUUCAAGGUGGAACAGAUCUUUCUAUCAUAAAAUCAGAAGUUCGAGUGAUUUACGCCAGAGCUAUUGGGUUCUGCCUAAUCCGUAAUCGGCAUGCUAGCUCCGCCCCCGUUUCAUUUAACGCACAACAUGUGACUAUAUUUUGAACAACUUUGCACCACUCAUGUACGUCUCAUUUCUGUUCAUUACAUAAUACUCCCUCCCUUUCAAUUUGUUUGUCUUAGUUUGAUUCGACAGAAAGUGUAAGUAAAUAACAAAGACUUUUGAAUCUUGUGGGCUUAAACUUAAAAUGUGUGUAAUGUACCAGAAUUUCCUUUGAAUCUUGUGGUCUUAAAUAUGCCAAGUAUAAUAUUAGGGGUAAAGAAUUACUAAAUAUCGAAAGUGACAUUCUUAUUUAAACAGACCAAAAAGGAAACUAAGACAAACAAAUUGAAAUGGAGGGAGUAUAUGUUAUGGCGUUUUGUGUGCUUUGAGACUGAAAGAAAUGCGAGCACGUAGUUGGAAUCCAAUAGCUCUACUGCACUAUGAUUGUUUCCAUACUAUGGUGAAUCCAAAAUUUAGAUGUUAGGGGUGUCACAGUAUUUCUAAACAUAGAUAUUACCAGUGAUACCUCGUAAAUGUUUAUUAAUCCGGGUGCCAUUGUUAGUGUAUAUGCAAUUUCUUCAAUAUAUACAUAGAAUAUAUGAGUUUUGUCAGAGGUUUGUGCGUGCCGAGGCACCUCCCUUGGUUGAUCCGCCCCUGGCUGCACACGGUAACUAUAUGUAUCGUGAAAAUAAAUACUUACAAAACAAGAAUAUCAUGAGAUAAAUACAGUUUCUCUAUUGAGAACCUUUUAUUCAGGAUUCAUAUGAGUGUUUU